rnacentral:tRNA from 1 species
UAUUUUAGUAGCUUAUAAAUAAGAGCAUAGCACUGAAGAUGCUAAGGAAGCAGUUCUGCUCUAGAAUAU